rnacentral:tRNA from 1 species
CAGGGAAUAGUUUAGUUAGAAUAUCAGCUUUGGGUGCUGAUGGCGGGGCUGUUGCCUCUUCCUUGA